rnacentral:rRNA from 1 species
AUUGAACGCUGGCGGCAUGCCUUACACAUGCGAGUCGAACGGCAGCACGGACUUCGGUCUGGUGGCGAGUGGCGAACGGGUGAGUAAUGUAUCGGAACGUACCUUUCAGUGGGGAAUAACGUAGCGAAAGUUACGCUAAUACCGCAUAUUCUGUGAGCAGGAAAGCAGGGGAUCGAAAGACCUUGCGCUGAUUGGGCGGCCGAUAUCAGAUUAGCUAGUUGGUGGGGUAAAGGCCUACCAAGGCGACGAUCUGUAGCGGGUCUGAGAGGAUGAUCCGCCACACUGGAACUGAGACACGGUCCAGACUCCUACGGGAGGCAGCAGUGGGGAAUUUUGGACAAUGGGGGCAACCCUGAUCCAGCCAUGCCGCGUGAGUGAAGAAGGCCUUCGGGUUGUAAAGCUCUUUCGGCCGGGAAGAAAUCGCAUAGGCUAAUACCCUGUGUGGAUGACGGUACCGGAAUAAGAAGCACCGGCUAACUACGUG